UUUAUUCUAAAGUCUGAAAAAGACAAACUACUCAAUAAUUCUCCAAUAAAAUUCAUUUCAUCAUUCAUUGAAAAACAAUAUUAAAUAAUCGGGUGAGGUGGCCUUGAUGCGUGGGUAAUUCAUUAGAAAGACAUCCGCCAUGCCAUCCAGAAGAUUAUGGAUGAAGCGUCUCCAGAAGACGACAACGGCUCACCACAACCCAACAAGACUGAACCGUCCGUGAACCGGAGGGAGAAGAGAGAAACCCGGCCUCCAGCCUGGUUUAGGAAUUAUGAAGUUUGAGGAACGACUAUUCCCAAAUUUAAUGGGAAAACUUAUUAAAUAAAUCUUUAGUUUUAUUUG
rnacentral:lncRNA from 1 species